rnacentral:rRNA from 1 species
AUUGAACGCUGGCGGCAUGCUUUACACAUGCAAGUCGACCGGCAGCGGGGAGGAGCUUGCUUCUCUGCCGGCGAGUGGCGAACGGGUGAGUAAUACAUCGGAACGUGUCGAGAAGAGGGGGAUAACCACCCGAAAGGGUGGCUAAUACCGCAUAAAUUCUGAGGAAGAAAGCUGGGGACCUAGGAAUAGGCCUAGCGCUUUUUGAGCGGCCGAUGUCGGAUUAGCUAGUUGGUGAGGUAAAGGCUCACCAAGGCGAAGAUCUGUAGCGGGUCUGAGAGGAUGAUCCGCCACACUGGGACUGAGACACGGCCCAGACUCCUACGGGAGGCAGCAGUGGGGAAUUUUGGACAAUGGGGGCAACCCUGAUCCAGCCAUGCCGCGUGUAUGAAGAAGGCCUUAGGGUUGUAAAGUACUUUUGUUAGGGAAGAAAAGUCAGCUGUGAAUAAUGGCUGAUACUGACGGUACCUAAAGAAUAAGCACCGGCUAACUACGUG